rnacentral:rRNA from 1 species
GACGAACGCUGGCGGCGUGCUUAGCACAUGCAAGUCGAACGGAAAGGCCCUGCUUUUGUGGGGUGCUCGAGUGGCGAACGGGUGAGUAACACGUGAGUAACCUGCCCUUGACUUUGGGAUAACUUCAGGAAACUGGGGCUAAUACCGGAUAGGAGCUCCUGCUGCAUGGUGGGGGUUGGAAAGUUUCGGCGGUUGGGGAUGGACUCGCGGCUUAUCAGCUUGUUGGUGGGGUAGUGGCUUACCAAGGCUUUGACGGGUAGCCGGGCGGAGAGGGUGACCGGCCCGAUUGGGACGGGACUACGGCCCAGCCUCCUACGGGAGGCAGCAGUGGGGAAUAGUGCACUAUGGGAGGAAGCCUGAUGCAGCAACGCCGCGUGGGGGGUGACGGGCUUCGGGUUGGUAACCGCUUUCCCCUGUGACGAAGAGUGGGUGACGGUAAUGGGUAAAGAAGCACCGGCUAACUACGUG